CAGCAGCCACGGGAAUACGGAGGGGGCUAGCGUUGUUCGGAAUUACUGGGCGUAAAGCGCACGUAGGCGGAUAUUUAAGUCAGGGGUGAAAUCCCAGAGCUCAACUCUGGAACUGCCUUUGAUACUGGGUAUCUUGAGUAUGGAAGAGGUGAGUGGAAUCCCGAGUGUAGAGGUGAAAUUCGUAGAUAUUCGGAGGAACACCAGUGGCGAAGGCGGCUCACUGGUCCAUUACUGACGCUGAGGUGCGAAAGCGUGGGGAGCAAACAGGAUUAGAUACCCCCGUAGUCCCUGUCUCUUAUAC
rnacentral:rRNA from 1 species